CCUACGGGGAGCUGCAGUGGGGAAUAUUGGGCAAUGGGCGCAAGCCUGACCCAGCAACGCCGCGUGAAGGAAGAAGGCUUUCGGGUUGUAAACUUCUUUUGUCAGGGACGAAGCAAGUGACGGUACCUGACGAAUAAGCCACGGCUAACUACGUGCCAGCAGCCGCGGUAAUACGUAGGUGGCAAGCGUUAUCCGGCUUUAUUGGGUGUAAAGGGCGUGUAGGCGGGAAUGCAAGUCAGAUGUGAAAACUAUGGGCUCAACCCAUAGCCUGCAUUUGAAACUGUAUUUCUUGAGUGCUGGAGAGGCAAUCGGAAGUCCGUGUGUAGCGGUGAAAUGCGUAGAUAUACGGAGGAACACCAGUGGCGAAGGCGGAUUGCUGGACAGUAACUGACGCUGAUGCUCGAAAGCGCGGGUAUCGAACAGGAUUAGAUACCCGAGUAGUC
rnacentral:rRNA from 1 species